GUGAGGUGAUAUGAACCGUUAUAACCGGCGAUUUCCGAAUGGGGAAACCCAGUGUGUUUCGACACACUAUCAUUAACUGAAUCCAUAGGUUAAUGAGGCGAACCGGGGGAACUGAAACAUCUAAGUACCCCGAGGAAAAGAAAUCAACCGAGAUUCCCCCAGUAGCGGCGAGCGAACGGGGAGGAGCCCAGAGCCUGAAUCAGUGUGUGUGUUAGUGGAAGCGUCUGGAAAGGCGCGCGAUACAGGGUGACAGCCCCGUACACAAAAAUGCACAUAUUGUGAGCUCGAUGAGUAGGGCGGGACACGUGGUAUCCUGUCUGAAUAUGGGGGGACCAUCCUCCAAGGCUAAAUACUCCUGACUGACCGAUAGUGAACCAGUACCGUGAGGGAAAGGCGAAAAGAACCCCGGCGAGGGGAGUGAAAAAGAACCUGAAACCGUGUACGUACAAGCAGUGGGAGCCUCUUAAUGGGGUGACUGCGUACCUUUUGUAUAAUGGGUCAGCGACUUAUAUUCUGUAGCAAGGUUAACCGAAUAGGGGAGCCGAAGGGAAACCGAGUCUUAACUGGGCGUUAAGUUGCAGGGUAUAGACCCGAAACCCGGUGAUCUAGCCAUGGGCAGGUUGAAGGUUGGGUAACACUAACUGGAGGACCGAACCGACUAAUGUUGAAAAAUUAGCGGAUGACUUGUGGCUGGGGGUGAAAGGCCAAUCAAACCGGGAGAUAGCUGGUUCUCCCCGAAAGCUAUUUAGGUAGCGCCUCGUGAAUUCAUCUCCGGGGGUAGAGCACUGUUUCGGCAAGGGGGUCAUCCCGACUUACCAACCCGAUGCAAACUGCGAAUACCGGAGAAUGUUAUCACGGGAGACACACGGCGGGUGCUAACGUCCGUCGUGAAGAGGGAAACAACCCAGACCGCCAGCUAAGGUCCCAAAGUCAUGGUUAAGUGGGAAACGAUGUGGGAAGGCCCAGACAGCCAGGAUGUUGGCUUAGAAGCAGCCAUCAUUUAAAGAAAGCGUAAUAGCUCACUGGUCGAGUCGGCCUGCGCGGAAGAUGUAACGGGGCUAAACCAUGCACCGAAGCUGCGGCAGCGACACUAUGUGUUGUUGGGUAGGGGAGCGUUCUGUAAGCCUGUGAAGGUGUACUGUGAGGUAUGCUGGAGGUAUCAGAAGUGCGAAUGCUGACAUAAGUAACGAUAAAGCGGGUGAAAAGCCCGCUCGCCGGAAGACCAAGGGUUCCUGUCCAACGUUAAUCGGGGCAGGGUGAGUCGACCCCUAAGGCGAGGCCGAAAGGCGUAGUCGAUGGGAAACAGGUUAAUAUUCCUGUACUUGGUGUUACUGCGAAGGGGGGACGGAGAAGGCUAUGUUGGCCGGGCGACGGUUGUCCCGGUUUAAGCGUGUAGGCUGGUUUUCCAGGCAAAUCCGGAAAAUCAAGGCUGAGGCGUGAUGACGAGGCACUACGGUGCUGAAGCGACAAAUGCCCUGCUUCCAGGAAAAGCCUCUAAGCAUCAGGUAACAUCAAAUCGUACCCCAAACCGACACAGGUGGUCAGGUAGAGAAUACCAAGGCGCUUGAGAGAACUCGGGUGAAGGAACUAGGCAAAAUGGUGCCGUAACUUCGGGAGAAGGCACGCUGAUAUGUAGGUGAAGCGACUUGCUCGUGGAGCUGAAAUCAGUCGAAGAUACCAGCUGGCUGCAACUGUUUAUUAAAAACACAGCACUGUGCAAACACGAAAGUGGACGUAUACGGUGUGACGCCUGCCCGGUGCCGGAAGGUUAAUUGAUGGGGUUAGCGGUAACGCGAAGCUCUUGAUCGAAGCCCCGGUAAACGGCGGCCGUAACUAUAACGGUCCUAAGGUAGCGAAAUUCCUUGUCGGGUAAGUUCCGACCUGCACGAAUGGCGUAAUGAUGGCCAGGCUGUCUCCACCCGAGACUCAGUGAAAUUGAACUCGCUGUGAAGAUGCAGUGUACCCGCGGCAAGACGGAAAGACCCCGUGAACCUUUACUAUAGCUUGACACUGAACAUUGAGCCUUGAUGUGUAGGAUAGGUGGGAGGCUUUGAAGUGUGGACGCCAGUCUGCAUGGAGCCGACCUUGAAAUACCACCCUUUAAUGUUUGAUGUUCUAACGUGGGCCCCUUACCGGGGUUGCGGACAGUGUCUGGUGGGUAGUUUGACUGGGGCGGUCUCCUCCUAAAGAGUAACGGAGGAGCACGAAGGUUGGCUAAUCCUGGUCGGACAUCAGGAGGUUAGUGCAAUGGCAUAAGCCAGCUUGACUGCGAGCGUGACGGCGCGAGCAGGUGCGAAAGCAGGUCAUAGUGAUCCGGUGGUUCUGAAUGGAAGGGCCAUCGCUCAACGGAUAAAAGGUACUCCGGGGAUAACAGGCUGAUACCGCCCAAGAGUUCAUAUCGACGGCGGUGUUUGGCACCUCGAUGUCGGCUCAUCACAUCCUGGGGCUGAAGUAGGUCCCAAGGGUAUGGCUGUUCGCCAUUUAAAGUGGUACGCGAGCUGGGUUUAGAACGUCGUGAGACAGUUCGGUCCCUAUCUGCCGUGGGCGCUGGAGAACUGAGGGGGGCUGCUCCUAGUACGAGAGGACCGGAGUGGACGCAUCACUGGUGUUCGGGUUGUCAUGCCAAUGGCACUGCCCGGUAGCUAAAUGCGGAAGAGAUAAGUGCUGAAAGCAUCUAAGCACGAAACUUGCCCCGAGAUGAGUUCUCCCUGACUCCUUGAGAGUCCUGAAGGAACGUUGAAGACGACGACGUUGAUA
rnacentral:rRNA from 1 species